AGAGGAAGUCCGGUGCGAAUCCGGCGCGGUCCCGCCACUGUCACCGGGGAGCACACGCGACGCGUGCACCCCGGGAGCCAGGAACUC
rnacentral:ncRNA from 2 species